GUAUUUCUCUUUGUGCACAGGAAAAGCAAUAUCAAAGAACUUUUUGAGCUUUUCUCUGAGGGCAGGGGCAUAUAUUGCUUCCAAAGCUGGUAAAAUCCCCGAACAUUAAACAUACUUGACUGUUAGACUAUUGUAAUUUAAAUGUUGUCAUCCCAGUGCUUUACCCUUCUGUUCAUCGUGCUAAAUGCAAAGAAUGUACAAAAUAUUAAGGGGCAUCUUCCACGUAUUUAAAUGCAGCCCCUUUUCUCACCAUCUGUAUCUUAAUUCUCUCAGCGUUUAAAAAUCUCUGACUCGUCGAAUUAUUUGUGUCUAGACUAGAUCCUCUCCUGGCUCAUCAGUUUUAAAAGCUCCGUAUGCAUAAUACAUUCAGUGUAGUUAAAAUUAUUUUAUGUUUCGUAUUCUUGAAUUUAUAGAGAAUUCCUACAGGAAUUAAGUUAAAUAAUUGAAAAUUUAAUUCCUUUAAUAUGUUAUGUCUGCAGCCGGCGAAUAGAUAAUAUGACAUCACAAAAAAGAGUGAUCUCUGUCAUCUUUUCUUUCAAAUGCCAGCCCGGACUCUGUCUUUGGACAGGUCUGUAUCAGUUCAGGGGGACGCAGGACCACAUGGACCUCAAAAAGCCUGUUAUGUGUUGAAUGGGAUCCAGAUGGGAGAAAACGGGAGGCCCUGCUGCUCACGCCCUCCCUCUUUACUUGGCCUAUAGAAGACAGAGAACAACACACUCCCUCUCCCUCCCCAAAAGUUACAUAGACAAUAAACACAUUUUUGAUUGCAAUUACCGCUUGAGGAAAAAUGCUUUCCAACGCGAGCCAGAGCCUCUUCGUUUUGUCAUCAUGUCCAAAAACGUCUAGAACCUUCCCAUGGCACUUGUGUUCAUGCUGCAGCAUGAGGAAAGCCCUAAAUGGCAGCAGGUCAGGGGGAUUUAUCUGACCAUUUUUGCCCCCAAGCCAUUACAGUAUGUCCCCAAUGCCUUUGCUGUGCAAGUCCUGUCUGUCUGGCUCGGCUUCAGUUUGCAGAGAGAGAGAGAGAGUUCAAGGCAGCCCUUGCCCGAGAUCAGGGUGGACUACACCGAGCCUGAGAAACGGAGAAGGGCAUCAACCUGACGCACAUCGAGUCUCGCCCGUCACGGAUGAACAAAGACCAGUACGAGUUCUUCAUCAGCGUGGACUCCACCUGCUCCCAGGCCUUGGAUGAGGUCAUUGACGGCCUGCGUACACAAAUCAGCGGCCACGUGCACGAGCUGUCACGCAACAAACAGAAGGAUACAGUGCCAUGGUUCCCUAAUGACAUCCAGGACUUGGACCGCUUCGCCAACCAGAUCCUCAGUUACGGCUCCGAGCUGGAUGCAGAUCACCCGGGUUUCACAGAUCCAGUGUACAGAACCCGCAGGAAGGAGUUUGCUGACAUUGCCUACAACUACAGACAUGGCCAGAGCAUCCCUAGAGUGGAGUACACAGAGGAGGAAAAGGCCACGUGGGGCACGGUGUUCAAGGAGCUGAAGACUCUGUACCCGACUCACGCCUGCCGCGAGCACAACCGGGUCUUCCCCCUGCUGGAGAAAUACUGCGGCUACAGGCAGGACAACAUCCCACAGCUGGAGGAUGUGUCCCGCUUCCUGCAGUCGUGCACAGGUUUCCGGCUUCGCCCCGUGGCCGGCCUGCUCUCGUCCCGGGACUUCCUGGCCGGCCUCGCCUUCCGCGUCUUCCAUUCCACGCAGUACAUCCGCCACGGCUCCAAGCCCACGUACACACCUGAGCCGGAUAUCUGCCAUGAGCUCCUGGGGCACGUUCCUCUGUUUGCUGACCCUAGUUUUGCCCAGUUCUCACAGGAAAUCGGACUUGCCUCCCUCGGUGCCCCCGACGAGUACAUUGAGAAGCUUGCUACUGUGUACUGGUUCACAGUGGAGUUUGGCCUGUGCAAGCAGGGCUCGGAGAUCAAAGCGUAUGGAGCUGGCUUGCUUUCAUCGUUUGGAGAGCUGCAGUACUGCUUGACAGACAAGCCCCAACUCCAGCCCUUUGACCCCGACAAGACCAGCCUCCAGAAGUACCCGAUCACAGAGUACCAGCCCGUUUACUUCGUUGCCGAGAGCUUUGAGGAUGGCAAAGAGAAAGUCAGGAAAUUCGCGGCCACCAUCCCCAGGCCUUUCACGGUGCGCUACAACCCCUACACCCAGAGUAUCGAAGUGCUGGACAACACCCAGCAGCUCAGGAACCUGGCUGACAGCAUCGGUAGUACGUAUCGCUCGUACUUUAGCUAUUCUAGUGCCCAGAGAGGACAAAACAGUCUCCUUUCCUUUAGGUAAAUUUACUGGUUCUCAAAGCAGUGGUCUUCCCAACUUUUUUUUUUUUUUUUUUUUGUUUCUGACCCGUUAAAAUGAAGCAGCGUCCACUUGUGACCCAUCAUCCCCGGUUCCAUACAGGUUUACAGGUGAAAUGGGGAAACUAUGUGAAGCCCUGCGGAAGCUGGCGUAACUGCACAUGUAACCUGAGC